UUAAACUAAAAUUUUUUAAUUUUUUGAAUUCCCGAAAUAGGUAGAGCUAAUUAAAAUACCAUUUUAGAUAGUAAAUUCAUAGUGUUAUAUAACUAUAUUUCAAAUUUUAAUUAGGGGUGAAAGGCCUACCAAUACCUUCAGAUAUCUGGAUGGGGUUAAAAUAUAUUUAGUAUUAAAGUCAAAUAUAAAAUUUUAAGGUUUUGUAUUAUUAAAAUAGUGCUCUGAAUGUGUGAGAAGUUAUUAAAUUAAUCUUUAAUAGUGUCUCAUAAAAAGUAAUUAUUCUGCAAUUAUAUUUAGUGUAAUAAGGCUCAAUUGAUUCUAAUAUGUAAUGUCUAUUUAUAAUGUUUAAAUUAUUAAUUCUAAUAAAACUAGAAAAGUAACUCGGCAAAUAUAAAUCUCAACUGUUUAUCAAAAACAUAGCUAAUUAUUAAUUAUUAGUUUUUUCUGCCCAGUGAUCAUUGUUUAACGGCCGCAGUACACUGACUGUGCAAAGGUAGCAUAAUAAAUUGACUUUUAAUUGAAGUCUGGAAUGAAAGAAAAAUUGUGGUUUAUCUGUCUCUUUAUAGUUUUUUUAAACUUAUUAAGAAAGUGAAAAUCCUUUCGAUGAUAAAUAGACGAGAAGACCCUAUGAAUUUUUAUAAAUAGGUAUAAUAUAACCUUCUAUUUUUGUUGGGGCAACAGAGUGACAUUAUCUAUAUAAUUCACUUAUCAACGAUUCUUUUCAUUGAUAUACCGAAUAUUAUUAUAUAUAAAUAAAUUACUAUAGGGAUAACAGCAUAAUUUUAUAUGAAGAUUGUGACCUCGAUGUUGGACUAGGAAGCAGUUAAGGCAGUCUCUUAAUUGAAUGGUUCUGUUCGAACCCUACCU
rnacentral:rRNA from 1 species